rnacentral:lncRNA from 1 species
UCACAGCACGACGUUUUGUUCCCUUGGGAACAGGGAACAGGGAACGGGAACCUCGUCAAGGGAAUGAUUGGGAGAAUGCACCCAUUUUUUUGUGUCAUCCAAGUUUGUCAUCUAUGUCGUCAUCUUCCCCUUGUCGAAAACUCAGGACCACUUCACCCCCAUGUUGCGAAGAUUUCCAAUACAAAUUAAGAACCCUAUAAGAGAUAAUAUCGGUUAAAGAUGAAAUGGGUGUUAGAAAAAAGAGGCACACAU